rnacentral:rRNA from 1 species
UGGGGAAUAUUGCACAAUGGGCGCAAGCCUGAUGCAGCCAUGCCGCGUGUGUGAAGAAGGCCUUCGGGUUGUAAAGCACUUUCAGCGGGGAGGAAGGCGAUAAGGUUAAUAACCUUGUCGAUUGACGUUACCCGCAGAAGAAGCACCGGCUAACUCCGUGCCAGCAGCCGCGGUAAUACGGAGGGUGCAAGCGUUAAUCGGAAUUACUGGGCGUAAAGCGCUCGCAGGCGGUCUGUCAAGUCGGAUGUGAAAUCCCCGGGCUUAACCUGGGAACUGCAUUCGAAACUGGCAGGCUAGAGUCUUGUAGAGGGGGGUAGAAUUCCAGGUGUAGCGGUGAAAUGCGUAGAGAUCUGGAGGAAUACCGGUGGCGAAGGCGGCCCCCUGGACAAAGACUGACGCUCAGGUGCGAAAGCGUGGGGAGCAAACAGG